AAGCACAGGUGGAAGGGGACCUGAUGAAGCAGCAUUGAAUACAGUGUGAAUCCCUGGAGCAGAACUGGAGCUGUCCAUCCCUCACACAGUGCCCUCCCCACGAAGCCGUGCUCUACUCUGUUCUCUUUCCAGUGAAUGCUGAGUUCACUGCUACACAACAAUCCAAAACCCAGGUCCAGCAGAAGGGCUGACAAGCACUCCCCAUGUAUACACACCCUGGUGACCACGGGCACCCAAACCUGCCAAGAGGAUGGGGCCCAUGGGUCUCAGCUCUGCAGGACAGCAAAGAAAGUACACCGGGCUAUCAACAAGUGCCUGUCUGUCCAUCUCUGAUGUUUGAAGAUAAGCCCAGUAAUCUCAGGUACACCAACACCAACUAUUUUAGCAGACUGACUUACCUGAAGAUAUAACCCAAAGGAAACCAUCCCAAAGUUUAGGAUUUGAACUGGUGUGAAACAGUAGAACUUUUAAAAUGAAAGAAACAAAAAAUGACAAAUGAGACUCUUCCUCAUAUAUUAUGCAAUUGAAUGGAUAUCCAAGAGAGAACAGUUAGAAAUCCCAAUUAGUUUGUCCUCUGCUAAACAACACAAUUUACAAUUCAUGAAAAGAACUGUACUAUGGACAGUAGCAAUGACCUCAAGAAAAGAGAUUUUACCCUUAUUAGAGAUACAUAAGCUCCUGUAAUGUAUUCAGCCAAUCGACAGGAAAGGAGAAUUAAGAUUCCGAGAGGCAGUCACUGAAAAAAUAUUCAAAUGGCAAAUUGGCUCUACAGAUAUUACAAAAUUAUGUGCUGGACUCUUUGUGUUACGCUUUGGCUUUCCUACCUGGAAUCAGAGAUAAACAGCAAAAAAAGAAGUUUUAUCAAUGGCACUGGUAGACCACUUUGAAAGGAGGUGAAUCACCUUGCAUUUUGAGGGCUUUUAGGUAUUCCCCUGACAUUUUAAAUCUAUUUCCCAGCCAAUUAUCAUUUAAAUUUAAUACUAUGUUUUUCUUAUUUAUUGCUUCUAUUCUUUUUCACUCUGUUCCUCAGAGACUCUGCUUUCUUCUGUAAUUAGGGUGAUUCCCGCAAUUACACAGUCAAACAAAGUCUCUAAAAGGUAUUAAACAACAAACCACCAGCAAAGGCCAUCGUUCCAGUUCAAACAAAUGUUACUAACAAAGGAUGUCUGAGCAACACUCCUGCUCUGGGCUGCCCUGCCCUCAGCCCCCCUCACGGCACCAACCUGUGCAGGAGUGAGCCCCGCUCCCUCUCAGAGCAUCCUCCUGCUCUGGGCUGUCCUGCCCUCAGGACAGGUGAGAUGUUAGGUGCCAGCAUCCCAAUUGUCACAGCAGGAAAGCCUAUCACCACCAGAGGGUACUAGACCCUGAGAAACCGAAUGGUCUAUAAAAGGACAAGGGAAAACGGGGAUGUAAUCACCAGAACGACACAGGAAUUUAGCAAGAUGAUGCAAUUUCUUAUCUUAACAUUGCAAUUUAAAAGCCAGAGCUGAUGGAGCGGCCUUUCCCAACCCCACCCGAUUCAGUAAUCUGUGAGUGUACUUUUAUCAGCUCACAAUUAAACACUGAGCUUCACUCGUGUUGUUUAGGAGCAGUUUAGCAAAAUCCGUGGAACUAUGUCCAUGGCAACAUGACCAGAGCCAAGUAUCAUGCCUCACACGUCGUUAAUGAGCAGAUUUGGUACAUAUUCAACCAUCCUUAAGGAUCUCUACCAGCUAGAAAGGGAUUGAUUCUCUCAACUCCCCAAAACACAUCAAAGUGGUUUUUUUGGUGUGGUGGGGUUUUUUUGUUUGUUUUUUUGGUGGGUUUUUGUGUGUGUGUGUGUGUGUGGUU